AUUGAACGCUGGCGGCAGGCCUAACACAUGCAAGUCGAGCGAGCGGCGGACGGGUGAGUAAUGUCUGGGGAACUGCCUGAUGGAGGGGGAUAACUACUGGAAACGGUAGCUAAUACCGCAUACCAUCGGAUGUGCCCAUAUGGGAUUAGCUAGUAGGUGGGGUAACGGCUCACCUAGGCGACGAUCCCUAGCUGGUCUGAGAGGAUGAUCAGCCACACUGGAACUGAGACACGGCCCAGACUCCUACGGGAGGCAGCAGUGGGGAAUAUUGCACAAUGGGCGCAAGCCUGAUGCAGCCAUGCCGCGUGUAUGAAGAAGGCCUUCGGGUUGUAAAGUACUUUCAGCGGGGAGGCGUUACCGAAAGAAGAAGCACCGGCUAACUCCGUGCCAGCCGCCGCGGUAAUAG
rnacentral:rRNA from 1 species